ACCUUCUUAACUGGAAUUUUUUCCACAGCCUUACAUACUUCCUGCUUUCCUGUCAGGUCACCCAGGAUGACUUGUAGUUCACAAGUUAUUUGUGUUCACUUGGCAUAGGUCUGCUCUCUGGGUCUAGGUUAUUCUUACACCCAACAAUCCCUACUCCUUACAUAACCUCCUUCAUGGGAUGAACUUAUUUGAUAUUCAGAACUUGGCAGGGUCACUCUGUUGCUUCUUCUCUAAGAGUUUUUCUGACUUCUGUCCACAACCAGGAGAAAUACUGUUCUACUGUGCCUUGGGCCUCUUCCCUCACAGCACUCAUCAUUUGAAAUUGCUUCAUUUCUUUAGGUUUCUGCUUCCGACCUGCAAGCUCAAGAGUAGGACAUCCAUGCUGUGGUUCUUUUUACAUCCAACAUUGAGAAAAGUGGCUGCUGUGGAGUUGGGCUCAACAAAUAUUUGUGUAGUGAAUGAAAGAAUGAAUGUGUUAGAAAAAUCACCCAGGGCCAUCUGAACAAGUAGAACCUGUGCAAAUAUACAGAAAGGGCACUGAUGAAAAGUUAGAAUAAAGUUUUUUGGAAGAAAUAUAUACUAUGUCACAGAAUUGAAGGGAAAAGAGAAGAUGAUAGGAAAGAAGAAUGGUGCAAUAAAGGCAUGGGGAGGAGGAAAGAGAAUCAGUGGCUCAGCUGUAGUGGCCAAGAUGCUCAUAAUUACAAAGAUAUCAGAAGACAUGGAAAGAUAUUUAUUCCUAAUUAAUUCCUAUCAAAAAUAAUCCCUUGCAUUCUGCUGUUCAAUAUACAUCCUCUGCUUUAUAAAAGAGAUUCUCAGCAAAUAUUAAGCCUUGACUCUAUGGAAGAUCUGUGGCCCCACAUUCCCACUGUGAAUGCGGUUAGCAUGCAAUAUAUCCUAAAGAUGACAUAUUGAAUAUUGCAUCCUAACCAGAUUGGAUGAAUCAUGGAUAUUUAUUUAUUUUUUUAUUUUUUUUUAUUUUCCCACUGUACAGCAAGGGGAUCAAGUUAUCCUUAUAUGUGUACAUUACAAUUACAUUUUUUCCCCACCCUUUGUUCUGUUGCAACAUGAGUAUCUAGACAAAGUUCUCAAUGCUAUUCAGCAGGAUCUCCUUGUAAAUCUAUUCUAAGUUUUGUCUGAUAAGCCCAAGCUCCUGAUCCCUCCAACUCCCUCCCCCUCUCAUCAGGCAGCCACAAGUCUUUUCUCCAAGUCCAUAUCAUGAUAUUUAAAACAGAAAUAUAAGUCUUGCUGUACAGUAGAAAGUUGACAGAACACUGCAAAGCACCUAUAAUGGAAAAAAAUAAAAAUCAUUAUACAAAGUAAAAAAAAAAAAAAUUUUAAAAAAGGUAGGUCAACCAGUCCCUGUAAUGAAGGCAUCUUCUGUCAACCAUGAAAGGAUUCUUCUUUUUCUAUCAUUACUUUGUAAUCCUAGAAACACUUCCCAACUUAAUGUGAAAGGUAUUUAACUUAUAGUUGUAAAAAGACCUCUCCUCAAUGUCUUCAUUCUAUUUGAUUAUUUUAGGGAAAAGAAAGUCCAUGUAAUGCCCCUUUCUCUUAAUUUCUUUGGCUGACCUCCAAAGUGUAGCUGUCAGCUAGUGUUAGCUAAGUAAGUAUGAGCCAUGGCCCAUGGCCCAUUUACUGUCAGUCACUUGGAUGGGAAUAUGCCCCCAGUAUUAGCAUUGCUAAACGUCAGGAGCAGCGACCAUCAAUACAAUUUUCUUCAGUCUGACACCCAGAGACUGAGUAAGGACAUCACAAGCUGUUAUAAAAACAGACACAAGAAGGUCUGUGAAUACACUGUCUAAGUUUAAGAAAUAUUUUAUUCAAACACAAUUAAAUCUCACCUUAUCGAGAAAGACUUUUAUGAUUAACCUCAUCUGCCAUCUCUUACUUGGCAACCUCACCUUGUAUUUACCCAUGUUUAAUAUUUUAAUUGUCAUUGUUUAAUAGGUUGCUCUGUAAAUGUAGCCUUCAAUCGUGUGUGUUUGUGAGUCUGUAUAUAUGUGUUCUAUCUCCUCAUUUAGACUGUCAGCUGGUUAAGGAUGAGAUUUCUGUCUUAUAUUUUUGUAUUCUUUCACAGCUCUUUCUAGAGUACUUCAUCUAUGAUAAUUUUCUGAGUAUAUGCUAAAUAAAAAUGGAAAAAUAUUCUUGCUUGUGAUUCUCAGUUAUAUAAAUUAUGAUAAAAUUUUCUUCCAAUUGCUAAAAUAAAAAGAGCCUAAGGAAGACAAUAUCACACAAAAUUUCCCAAACUAUAGAUAAUCCCUCUGAAAAACUCUGAAUAUAUCAUCUUACUCUGUAGCUGUAAAAACAUG
rnacentral:lncRNA from 1 species